rnacentral:lncRNA from 1 species
UCACCAUUUUGAGGUCCAAAGUGAGGAAUUCAUUUUUGUUUUGUUAAACUUUAACUUGUUACAACUUUUCUACAUACCUUCUUGGAUGAUUAUAAACCCCAUCAUGUUCCCAACUAACUUGCAUGUUGAGGGACAUGAUUUGUCGUUCAGAAGCCAACUUUUGAUUGUCGUCUUGAACCAUGGUCAUCUCAGCCGGUAAAUCUUCUACAUCUUUGGAAGCAUCGGAUGCAACGGUUUGGAAGUACUUGAGGUCAUCCUUCAGCUUCUCUUGAUGGGCCAGCAACGUCUCACGUUCCUUCCUUCCUCCAACCAACCUCCCUAUCCUUAACCAGUGACUCCACGCCCUUCAAACAUUUCAGUACCUCAAAACAGUUCAGAAUACAGAAUGAAGAAACAAGAAGAUAACACCACGACAAAUGCCAACAUGCUUCCUUUUACGACCGCAUCCAUGGGACCAAUGUUCUAGCAACCGUCCUUGGUAGUUAACAGAUUAUGUUGAACAUUUGCUUCAUACCUCAAUAGCAAGUCAUUCAGAACCAUGCCAGGAGAUGCUAUAUUAACUCCAACUUUAGACAUUUUGCACUCUUUGAAUAGUGGUGAUUGAAAUUGUCUAAGACCAUAUUUGUUGACUCGUAGCUGCAGUAAUCAAGAAAAGUUCACAAAAAAUAAGCCAUCUUCAGCCAAUUUUAAAACAAAUACCACCACCAUGCGUUAAAAUUUUACAAGAAUCAACAUUUCAAAAUCUUGAAACAAAUUAAUACCACCACCGACAACACCAUCCAUGUUCGAGCCAACAC